rnacentral:rRNA from 1 species
GGACAACAGUUGGAAACGACUGCUAAUACCGCAUAAGCCCACGAUCCGGCAUCGGAUCUGAGGGAAAAGGAUUUAUUCGCUUCAGGAUGGACUCGCGUCCAAUUAGCUAGUUGGUGAGGUAACGGCCCACCAAGGCGACGAUUGGUAGCCGGACUGAGAGGUUGAACGGCCACAUUGGGACUGAGACACGGCCCAGACUCCUACGGGAGGCAGCAGUGGGGGAUAUUGCACAAUGGGGGAAACCCUGAUGCAGCGACGCCGCGUGGAGGAAGAAGGUUUUCGGAUUGUAAACUCCUGUCGUUAGGGACGAUAAUGACGGUACCUAACAAGAAAGCACCGGCUAACUACGUGCCAGCAGCCGCGGUAAAACGUAGGGUGCAAGCGUUGUCCGGAAUUACUGGGUGUAAAGGGAGCGCAGGCGGACCGGCAAGUUGGAAGUGAAAACUAUGGGCUCAACCCAUAAAUUGCUUUCAAAACUGCUGGCCUUGAGUAGUGCAGAGGUAGGUGGAAUUCCCGGUGUAGCGGUGGAAUGCGUAGAUAUCGGGAGGAACACCAGUGGCGAAGGCGACCUACUGGGCACCAACUGACGCUGAGGCUCGAAAGCAUGGGUAGCAAACAGGAUUAGAUACCCUGGUAGUCCAUGCCGUAAACGAUGAUUACUAGGUGUUGGAGGAUUGACCCCUUCAGUGCCGCAG